GUAGUUUUACUUAUAAGGCAGAAAUGAUAAAUACAUCGUUUUCCUUUGUUGGAAGUUGAAAAGAAGAAAUGAUAAGUUUCCUUUCUGUUUCCUUUUAUAUAAUUUGAUGAUGGAUCAUCACACGUAAAUUCUUCUUUCUUCAAUAUCGUUUACUUUUUGGUUUACGUCCGAUUCAUCGCUUCGUCUACCAAAACCCUAACUCCCUCCCACACAAUUAAUUCGGCAUCUCAUCUACUCAUCUGUUAUGUAGACAAUAGGAUUAAAAAUCAAACAUCAAAUAGGAGAUAGAUACGAGUAAUCGGAGGCCUACUCAGGGUGCAAAUUGCUCUGUUGUCAUGGAAUCUGGUGAUUGGAGGGCUGAAGUGUCAGCGGAUUCACGGGAAAGGAUAAGAUACAAGAUAUCGGAAACCUUGAACAGGCAUAUUCCAUUCUCUACAUACGAGGGACUACAGGAGCUUAAGAAAGUAGCUGUGAGGUUUGAAGAGAAGAUUUAUGCUGCUUCCAUUAGCACGUCUGAUUAUUUACGGAAGAUAUCCUCGAAGAUGCUGACUAUGGAGACUAGAUCAGAAGAUCCCAUGUCAGAGUCAGACCCCAUGCAGUCAAACUCUGCUGCUAAUAGUGUAAACCCGCCGAUCAUAUUUCAUAAUACACCAUCAUUCAAUAGCCAGGGUGUAAGUGGUGCUGUUGAUGACUGGAGGGCUCCAUUGGAACGGGAACGGGUCGUGAACAAGAUAAUGGAUAGCUUGAAGGAAAAUCUUCCCUUCACUAGAUAUGAUAGACUACAUGAACUUAAGAAAAUAGCUCAGAGGGUUGAAGCGGAGAUUUUCACUGCUGCCACAAGUCAGUCUGAAUAUUCACGGAAGAUAUGUUUGCAUAUGCUGACUAUGGAGACUAGAUUACAAAACUACGUGUCAGACUCCAUGUACUCAAACUCUGCUGCCAUAAGUGUAAACUCCUCGGUACCAUUUAAUACGACAGCAAAUGGCGGAGAUUGGCAAGAGGAAGUGUAUCAAAAGAUAAAAACUAUGAAGGAUCUGUAUCUACUAGAUUUGAGGCCUACUCAGGGUGCAAGCGGUGCUUUUGGUGAGCCCACCUUGGAACAUGGUGAUUGGAGGGCUACAGUGCAAGCAGAUUCACGACAAAGGAUCGUGAACAAGAUAAUGGAGACCUUGAAGAGGCAUGUUCCAUUUGAUGGACCCGAGGGACUACAGGAACUUAUGAAAAUGGCUAUGAAGUUUGAACAGAGGAUGUAUACUUUGUGCACAAGCCAGUCUGAUUAUUUACGGAAGAUAUCCUUGAAGAUGCUGACUAUGGAGACUAGAUAUCCUGCUGCUAAUAAUGUAAACCCUCAGAUCCAGGUAUAAGUUUAUAAAAAAUACAGUGAGUGUGCUCUGACAACUGCACUUUCAUAUUGUACGAUAUCUUGGGAAAGCUGCCUAAUUUUGUUAUCAUCAUUUGAAGUUCUGCUACACUGGGUGGGCAUCCCUAGCUUCUUUGGUCUUCUGAAUUUCGGCCAUUUGUUGUUGGAAUACGUUGAAUGUAUCUAACUUGCUUGCAAUGUCAUCCAACUGAUCGCUGUAUACUCCCCUACGCGAGCCCGAACUUCCAACUGAAGGCGAUGCCGUACCCGAUCUUGAUUUUAGAGCGCGCCUUUUUGCGGCAUCUCUUCCGUAUUAAGGCCGGUUUGGCGAAUCAUCCAGAAAGUCCUCCAACUCUUGAUCUCGUGCAUCCGAUUGGGCUUGAAACGAGGGUCCUUGACCUUUUGGAAGACGUGUUAGUUUCGCUACCUGAUGUGUGUAAAAUGCAACAUAUAAAUUAUAUCAAAUGAGGCAUAAAACUAACCCUUUUUUAGUACUAAUGUUGGAAAAAGAGUGUUUUUGUCUUCCUUUUGUAUUUUCAGGAUUAAAUGAGCUCAAAGUCACAAAAGAAGCAAAAAGACAGCUAAAUCUAACAUAAAUACAAGAAAAGGAACAUAAGUGGAUUGCCCGACCCCUCAACAGCAUCCUCCCAAGCAAAAUAGAGAAGGCAGAAGACUGAACACGCCCCGUGCUCAGCCAGCACGGGGUCAUGCCCAAGAAGCAGCAGAAAAGACAAACCUAUAGAAGCUUCUAUUGCCCUCCACGGGGCCGUGUCCAGCGGACACGGGGGCGUGGCGAAAGUACAGCAGGCGCAUUAAUUGUAAUUGCGAAUUACAAUUAAUGAAGAGAGAGAGUGUCGGACAGGCACGGGGGCGUGUCCAGCGGACACGGGGCCGUGCCCAGCCUUCUGUUCAGCCUAUAAAUAAGAGUGCUUGGCUUCAUUACAACUCAUCCCUUGGCACACCACCUCUCUCACACUUCAUCCACCACCCACCACCAUCACAACACCAUCAUCCACCACCAUCAUCCAUUGUCCAUCAUAGAGUGUGUGAGUCGUCUCGGGAUCCAAGAUUGAUCGUAAGAGUUCUUGACAAUCAAGGCCAUGUUUGCCUAAGUCUCUUACAUCACUUGGUGAAGACAAGUGUUUAGUAUAAUACUUUUUAUUUUUAAUCUUUUACACUUUUUAUUUGGUUUUGUAUUAAUGACUUUAAUAACUAGUUGCUUAUGUUGAAGGUGAUCUUUCCUUA